rnacentral:rRNA from 1 species
GGAAGUGCUUGCACUUCGCUGACGACCGGCGCACGGGUGAGUAUCGCGUAUACAAUCUGCCUCAUACUAGGGAAUAGCCCGAAGAAAUUUGGAUUAAUGCCCUAUAGUAUCUUUUUAAGGCAUCUUAUUAAGAUUAAAGGCUACGGUAUGAGAUGAGUAUGCGUUCUAUUAGCUAGUAGGUGUGGUAACGGCACACCUAGGCUACGAUAGAUAGGGGCCCUGAGAGGGGGAUCCCCCACACUGGUACUGAGACACGGACCAGACUCCUACGGGAGGCAGCAGUAAGGAAUAUUGGUCAAUGGACGAAAGUCUGAACCAGCCAUGCCGCGUGCAGGAUGACUGCCCUAUGGGUUGUAAACUGCUUUUAUAUAGGAAGAAAAACUUUCUCGUGAGAAAGCUUGACGGUACUAUAAGAAUAAGGAUCGGCUAACUCCGUG